GAAAAAAUAAAAAGAAAAGUUCAAGUCCAAUUUAAGAAACAAUUCGGGAAAUUAAGUCCAUCCCAAAUGAAAACAAGCAUCUCAAUUUACAGUUCAAAUGAGCCCAAGCCCAACUUUAAAAUCUUGAAACGGAGAUACAUAUGGGUCUCAAGCAACAGUCAGGGGUAUUCAUUUCCCGCAGUUCCAGCCAAAUUUAAUAAAUAUUACUAAACCGUGGUUUGGAAGAGUUGCAGACCACCGAACCGGAGGUCAUUGGCAUACCUAUUUUGGAGACCCCCGCCGCGCCGAGGAGAUGCAAGACGGACUACAAUUGGCACGCCGAGAAGUCGGUGCGGUGCAGUUUGGUUCGCGCGAGCAUCGAUGGCAGAACUGAGAUUGAGGGUUUGAGGAACACUUCGUGGUUGGGGGUAUGGGGAGGAAGAAGAAGAAGCCGAGGAAAAGAAAGGAAAGAAGAAGAUGGAGAGAAGAAGGAAAGAAGAAGAAGAUGCAGCCAGCAAUGGCAGGAGGAAGAAGAAAGAAGAAAAAGAUGGAGAGAGAAGAGAAGAAAGAAGGGAUGACGGC
rnacentral:lncRNA from 1 species